UNNCCUCCCCGGGAAAGCCUUGACGGCGCGGGAUGGGGUCGCGGCCCAUUAGGUAGACGGCGGGGUAACGGCCCACCGUGCCCGCGAUGGGUAGCCGGACUGAGAGGUCGACCGGCCACAUUGGGACUGAGAUACGGCCCAGACUCCUACGGGAGGCAGCAGUGGGGAAUUUUGCGCAAUGGGGGAAACCCUGACGCAGCAACGCCGCGUGCGGGACGAAGGCCUUCGGGUUGUAAACCGCUUUCAGCAGGGAAGAUUCAGACGGUACCUGCAGAAGAAGCUCCGGCUAACUACGUGCCAGCAGCCGCGGUAAUACGUAGGGGGCGAGCGUUAUCCGGAUUCAUUGGGCGUAAAGCGCGCGUAGGCGGCCGCCUAAGCGGAACCUCUAAUCCCGGGGCUCAACCUCGGGCCGGGUUCCGGACUGGGCGGCUCGAGUGCGGUAGAGGCAGGCGGAAUUCACGGUGUAGCAAAUCACUAGUGAAUUC
rnacentral:rRNA from 1 species